rnacentral:rRNA from 1 species
GAUCAUGAUAACUAGUCGAAUCGACAGGCCUUGUGCCGGCGAUGGCUCAUUCAAAUUUCUUCCCUAUCAACUUUCGAUGUUUGGGUCUUGUCCAAACAUGGUGGCAACGGGUAACGGAGGGUUAGGGCUCGACCCCGGAGAAGGAGCCUGAGAAACGGCUACUACAUCCAAGGAAGGCAGCAGGCGCGCAAAUUACCCAAUCCCGACACGGGGAGGUAGUGACAAUAAAUACUGAUACAGGGCUCUUUUGGGUCUUGUAAUCGGAAUGAGUACAAUUUAAAUCCCUUAACGAGGAACAAUUGGAGGGCAAGUCUGGUGCCAGCAGCCGCGGUAAUUCCAGCUCCAAUAGCGUAUAUUAAAGUUGUUGUGGUUAAAAAGCUCGUAGUUGAACCUUGGGCCUGGCUGGCCGGUCCGCCUCACCGCGUGCACUGGUCCGGCCGGGCCUUUCCCUCUGCGGAACCCCAUGCCCUUCACUGGGUGUGGCGGGGAACCAGGACUUUUAC